UACGGAGGGUGCAAACGUUGCUCGGAAUCAUUGGGCGUAAAGCGCACGUAGGCGGUUUGUUAAGUCGGGUGUGAAAGCCCAGGGCUCAACCCUGGAAGUGCACUCGAAACUGGCAGGCUUGAAUAUGGAAGAGGGUCGCGGAAUUCCCGGUGUAGAGGUGAAAUUCGUAGAUAUCGGGAGGAACACCAGUGGCGAAGGCGGCGACCUGGGCCAAUAUUGACGCUGAGGUGCGAAAGCGUGGGGAGCAAACCGG
rnacentral:rRNA from 1 species